rnacentral:lncRNA from 1 species
GAUGACGGUCCCGAGUACGCAAAAAGUCGAGUCCAAGAAACCUAAAAUAGGUGACAAGCAAACACCGAAUGAGUAUAUAACUUAGUAAGUCAUAAGCAAUGCACUACCAUCCAUUAAUAACAUUAUCACAAGAGGAAACAAAAUGGAACGAGGCUAAUUACUCCAUCCAAACCGAACUAUACCAUAGUUCCUUAGACCUUUC